UCUUUUUCAUUCCCCAAUUAACUCACACCCAGUUUCAUAGAUUUUCUAUACUACCCCAACAUUACUCUCUCCAGGUAUUACCAUAAUUUUCCCUUCAAUUCUGUUUUCUUUUCUCUGUUUGUUUCUCGAGAAAAUUACCUAGCUUUUUUUUUUUUAAAUCUACGUGAGCUUAAAAGUGAGUAUCUUCUGUCUAGAUUUCCAGUCUUUGGUAGAUCUAUUAUAGUUAUGUUUUUUUUUUCUAUUUUUCAAUCAUUUGUUGUUAAUUUUGUGUGGAAUUGGUUAGAUUGGAUCUGCUUGCGGGGUUGAAUUGGCGUUUUUAAUGUGUUUGAUUUGAUGGGUAUAUGAUUUUGAACUGUUUCUUUUAUUAGAAAAUUCUGUUACACAUCCUUUUAACAAUAACAAUGUCUGGUGUAAUCAUAGAUUCUUGAUAUUAAUGGGUGUAACAAAGCCUGGUGAUUUGUGGUCAACCACUGUAAUUUUUGUGGAAUUGAUAAAAUGGACAAUUCUUUUUUUGUUUUAUUGGGUCAUUUUUUUCUUUGUUCUUUUUUUUUGGUUUUUUCUGUUUGGCAUUUCAUCAUUCAUCUGAUAUGCAUUGCCUUAUUGUUUUCAAUUAUUAUCCAAUGCAUGAAAAAUGAACACAAAGGAAUUAUUUUUAUAUAUAUAUACAUAUACAUGCAUUAUUAAACCGAUGCAGUUCGUACUAUCUGUAAUGUUUUGUUUGAGUGUAACAUUUUGUAUGGUGGUGUUGUUUAUGUCUUCUUUCAUGACUUUGAAUUUAGUCUCGAUAAUCUUUGCUACUGCUCACUAAAGGAGAAAGGAGAACAAAAUGCCUCAAUGAUCUCUGUUGUAUUUUCAUAAUUUUUUUACAAGUUAGCAGUAAAAGGGCUGGUUAUAUGGAGAAAGUAAAAAUAUACAGCAGAGUUGAAGGAAUGAUGUAAUGAAUUGAAACAUGGAACAAUGCAGACAGUAAAAGGGUACAUAUAUGUUGCCUUAUUUCCUUUAGUUAAGCUUAUGAAUUGAAUUGGUGAUUCAAAGAUGCAUGAAUUUCUAGCCUUUUAGUAAUAUUUCUCAUGUUCCCAAAUAAACUAAUCAGAAUUCCAAGGUAACAAAACUGACCAGUAUUGAAAUAGUAAUUUUUCUCAUGUUUUCUAGUUAUGCCUUUCCUUAUGAAAAUGUCCA
rnacentral:lncRNA from 1 species